UGGGGAAUUUUCGACAAUGGGGGGAACCCUGAUCGAGCCAUCCCGCGUGUGGGACGAAGGCCUUCGGGUUGUAAACCACUUUUCUCAACGAAGAAAAGUCUUAGGCUAAUACCUUAAGAUGCUGACGGUAGUUGAGGAAUAAGCACCGGCUAACUAUGUGCCAGCAGCCGCGGUAAUACAUAGGGUGCAAGCGUUAAUCGGAAUUACUGGGCGUAAAGGGUGCGCAGGCGGCUUGGAAAGAACGGUGUGAAAUCCCGGGGCUCAACCUCGGAACUGCACUAUUAACUAUCAAGCUAGAGUAUGUCAGAGGGGGGUGGAAUUCCGCGUGUAGCAGUGAAAUGCGUAGAUAUGCGGAGGAACACCAAUGGCGAAGGCAGCCCCCUGGGAUAAUACUGACGCU
rnacentral:rRNA from 1 species